ACGGGAGGCAGCAGUGGGGAAUAUUGCACAAUGGGCGCAAGCCUGAUGCAGCGACGCCGCGUGAGGGAUGACGGCCUUCGGGUUGUAAACCUCUUUCAGCAGGGAAGAAGCGAAAGUGACGGUACCUGCAGAAGAAGCGCCGGCUAACUACGUGCCAGCAGCCGCGGUAAUACGUAGGGCGCAAGCGUUGUCCGGAAUUAUUGGGCGUAAAGAGCUCGUAGGCGGCUUGUCGCGUCGGUUGUGAAAGCCCGGGGCUUAACCCCGGGUCUGCAGUCGAUACGGGCAGGCUAGAGUUCGGUAGGGGAGAUCGGAAUUCCUGGUGUAGCGGUGAAAUGCGCAGAUAUCAGGAGGAACACCGGUGGCGAAGGCGGAUCUCUGGGCCGAUACUGACGCUGAGGAGCGAAAGCGUGGGGAGCGAACAGGAUUAGAUACCCUGGUAGUCCACGCCGUAAACGGUGGGCACUAGGUGUGGGCGACAUUCCACGUCGUCCGUGCCGCAGCUAACGCAUUAAGUGCCCCGCCUGGGGAGUACGGCCGCAAGGCUAAAACUCAAAGGAAUUGAC
rnacentral:rRNA from 1 species